GGCCGGGUGACGCAGUUGGUUAGCGUGUGGAGCUAAUAUCAUUCCAUGAUUACUCCAAAGUCCUGGGUUCAAGCCCCAGUCGGGCCA